GCCAGGUGUGGUGGCGCAGACCUGUAAUCCCAGAGGCUUGGGAGGCAGAGGCAGGAGAAUCGCGAGUUCAAAGCCAAAUUUAGUGAGGUGCUAAGCAACUCAGUGAGACCUUGUCUCUA
rnacentral:sRNA from 1 species